rnacentral:misc_RNA from 1 species
GUAGGUGAACCUGCGGAAGGAUCAUUUUUGUUGCUUAAUAGACUUGAGGGGUUUAACCCUCGAGCGUUGACUGAACACGUCCUAGUUUAUACUGGGGUUGAACAUGGCAUUGUCUGACUAGUUUUAAUAUAAAAAACUUUCAACAACGGAUCUCUAGGCUCUUGCAUCGAUGAAGAACGCAGCAUCUGACUGACUUCGCCGCUUU